CUGCGGCAGCUUACCAUGCAAGUCGAACGGUAGCACAUAGGAGCUUGCUCCUUGGGUGACGAGUGGCGGACGGGUGAGUAAUGCUUGGGAAUCUGGCUUAUGGAGGGGGAUAACUACUGGAAACGGUAGCUAAUACCGCGUAAUACCGAGAGAUUAAAGGGUGGGACUUUCGGGCCACCUGCCAUAAGAUGAGCCCAAGUGGGAUUAGGUAGUUGGUGGGGUAAAGGCCUACCAAGCCUGCGAUCUCUAGCUGGUCUGAGAGGAUGGCCAGCCACACUGGAACUGAGACACGGUCCAGACUCCUACGGGAGGCAGCAGUGGGGAAUAUUGCACAAUGGGGGAAACCCUGAUGCAGCCAUGCCGCGUGAAUGAAGAAGGCCUUCGGGUUGUAAAGUUCUUUCGGUGAUGAGGAAGGUGUUUUGUUUAAUAGACAAGGCAAUUGACGUUAGUCACAGAAGAAGCACCGGCUAACUCCGUGCCAGCAGCCGCGGUAAU
rnacentral:rRNA from 1 species